UGGAAAUGCAAAUUAACACUACAGUGUGAUACCACCGUUCACCCUCCAGGAUGGCUAAAAUGGAAGAGAUUGUCCACGGACCCUGUAUCCAGAGACUUUGGGGCCGAUGCGGGUGGACUUCUGAGCGGUGUUGUGAGCACGCAGGUCUCAGACUGUUUCUGCGGGGCUGAAGGGAAUGACUUCUCAUACUCAUACCGUCCUCCUUCUCCAUUUCUGCAGUCCUCCCACAUCUACAUUCUGCAGGCUGCUGGCCCAGAACACAGAAGGCAGGGAACAUAAGUAGAAACUGGGAGAUCAACCGGGAGAAGAUCAUGGCUUGGACUGGAGGUAGCAGUGGAGAAUUCAAGAAGCAGUCAGAUUCUGGCUACAUCUUGAAGGUAACACUAACUGGAUUUGUUGAUGAUUGAUGUGGGGUGUGAAGGAAAGAGAGGCAGUAAGGACGACCACGGCGUUUGACCUGGGCAACUGGAAGUAUGACAUUGCCAUUUAUUCAGAUGGGAAAGCGGGAGAAGAAGGAACAAGAGUUCCAUUUGGAUGUGCUGAGUUAGCUGACUAUAGGACCUCCAAGUGGAGGUGGUGGUGAGGCUGCUGGCUGCGCAAGUCUGGAACUCGGGAAGGGGGAGCUAGAGACAUAAGUGUGGC
rnacentral:lncRNA from 1 species